CGCCGCGUCGCGAAGACAUGAGAGGAGCCGACAGCGACAGGGGUCUCUGAGCUAUUUGUACAUACACCGAAUGGAAAACGCGGGCCGACUCGCCAACAGACGAAAAAAACUUGCAGGACCAAAGGAACGAGAGCUUCCUUAAUUACCACGUUACACCCUGCGCUCCUUCUUUCCUGUUCACUAUCGUGAAGUUAAUAGAACUAGAUGAUAAAUGCGGUGUGUAGGUGAUCGCAGUUUGAAUAAAAAUUUCCUUUUUUCUUAUUUGCUAUGAUGGAAAAGAUGUUGCGGAAGAUUUGAUAAAAAGGGGAGGAUAGUUUUAAGUAUGAAAUCACGACCGCAAACUAUCGUCGAAACAAUUUAGAGCCAUUAGAAAGAAUAAAAGGAAUAUUGAAGUCUAAAAUAAGAAAGCAAUACAUAGCUAAUUAUCAGCCUGUUUGCCUCUGCGAGCAUGAUGUCUAAAAAUGUUUAUACCUAUGUGGAAGUAGUGGAUGAUGGUAAACGAUAGAAUUACACUCAGGUCGUAAAUGACAAUUUACGAUUAAAUAUACAUACUAUCAUUCUUACUGUCUAAUUCUAACUUAUAUAAUCGAAAAUCAUUGAAGCAACAUGGAAUCGUAACAUGGACCAGUAGAUGACUUCCCUUUUCCUUUCCUUCGCACGGCUAAUGAAAUCGGCGCACUCUUAAUGAGAACGAAGAAAGCCGAUACUGAACGACUUCCAAAGAAGUGACUCCUAUGGGCAGGUUCCGUCGCUCCUUUGACUAGGGAGUAAUAGAGUAUCGGGGCGGAGUAUCUUACCGCAGAGUAGAAACGGAGUAUUCGUAUUUCAAAGGGACGGUCCGUUACGCCGCAACGCUUCUCAUUAUGUUAUGCGCGCCUAAAUGUCAUGAGAAAACCAUACCCGCCCGUACGUCGACAGGAGAACCGACAGCAAUGAAGAUUUUCACGCGGAAGCGUCUCUUCAGGGCUACUUUAUCUUUGUAACAAAAGAAGAUGGCGGACUUAGAUAGAAAAGUCUUAUCUUCAAAAAAACUGACCUGUCGCUUUAUAAUUUCUCAAGCAACAAGCGUUAGAUCAAAAAAGGAUAGGGAUUCGAACAAAUAGUUCAUGUUCUACUUAGAAGGUACUUGAAUACUGCUUUAUAUCACCUACCAUUGGAAAAACUACGAUUGGUUAUUUUGGCCGCCGUCGGUGAAGUUAGGAACGCCGAGUGGGUGUCUAAUUUCGUCGAAGAGGAGGGAUUUCACGCUCGAUCAACGCUGAUUGGACAACGCUGGUCGUUUGCUCUUAUAACUCGUCGUUUGUACGCGAACCCGUACUUUGACAACAGUCUGCUCCACGUGAAUCACAAUUUUCUUUACAAGGACUAGCCGGUUGACUGCUAGCCACCGACGAUUGCAUCAUGAUGGAUUGUACGCUGAGCACCGGCGACGUGGUGACCACCGG